rnacentral:tRNA from 1 species
AAGACAUUAGUAAAAUGUAAAUUACGCCACCUUGUCAAGGUGGUAUUGCAGGUUAAAUCCCUGCAUGUCUUA